CAAUAGCGUAUAUUUAAGUUGUUGCAGUUAAAAAGCUCGUAGUCGGAUUUUGGCUGAGAACGAUCGGUCCGCCGUUAGGUGUGCACUGAUUGGUCUCAGCUUCCUGGGGAGGAGGUGUGCUUCACGGCCACUUAGUCACCGUGGUUACUUUGAAAAAAUUAGAGUGUUCAAAGCGGGCUUACGCUUGAAUAUAUUAGCAUGGAAUAACACCAUAGGACUCCUGUCCUAUUUCGUUGGUCACGGGACGGGAGUAAUGAUUAAGAGGAACAGUUGGGGGCAUUCGUAUUUCAUUGUCAGAGGUGAAAUUCUUGGAUUUAUGAAAGACGAACUUCUGCGAAAGCAUUUGCCAAGGAUGUUUUCAUUGA
rnacentral:rRNA from 1 species